rnacentral:rRNA from 1 species
UACGUAGGGUCCGAGCGUUGUCCGGAAUUACUGGGCGUAAAGAGCUCGUAGGUGGUUUGUCGCGUUGUUCGUGAAAACUCACAGCUUAACUGUGGGCGUGCGGGCGAUACGGGCAGACUGGAGUACUGCAGGGGAGACUGGAAUUCCUGGUGUAGCGGUGAAAUGCGCAGAUAUCAGGAAGAACACCUAUGGCGAAGGCAGCUCUCUGGGACGGUACUGACGCUGAGACGCGAAAGCGUGGGGAGCGAACAGG